rnacentral:lncRNA from 1 species
AAAAGAACAACAAAAGGCUAUUUAUUAUUGGUAGGCGUACUACUAUGCUCUGAACUUCUUCUUUUUUGCGACAUGCUCUCAAAGAUUAAUCUGUAUCAGGAUGUCAAUUAUUGAGGUCUAUAUUCAUAGUCAAACGAAGAAGCUUCCUUACUUCCAACAACGGCAGCUUCUGUAAGGAUGCAAAAAAUAGGAUUUAAAACGGGUGUAUUCGAGUUGGCAAAUGUGACAAUUAAAUUUGAAUGAACCCUGCAGAUUAUAAGCCAUUCAAAUAUGACUUCCUUGUCAUAGUUCAUGGUUCAUCUUUCUAUUCAAAUUCCCACACUAUCUCAGAGCACAUUUUCUUUCUUUGUUGUCAAGGAAAGGCGGGAAGGAGCAAUAAGGAAGAGUAUGAUCUGUCCGAAUUCUGGAGAUAUCUCUAUGCGAGAUUCUGAAAGAUUGAUUCUCAAAACUGACCGGCGACUAUUGGCCCCUCAUCCAAGAGAUCCCUCUCAUCUACAUUGGUGGUGUUCGUAUCCAAUAAUUGAAAUUGAUCACACCCAAGCCAUGACAAAAGAUUUAUCUCCACUGACUACUUUUCCUUCUUUAGGUAAUUGUUAUCUAUUCUUUUGCUUCCAUUUACCAUCUGCUGCAAUUCACUGUUCCACCUAAAGUCAGCUUUCUAGGGUUGGGGUCAGUUUUUGGGUUUGAAGGCAUCAAUUUCUAUUAUGUUCUUAUGUUCAAUGCUUAACACGAAUUGAUUUCUUUCCAGGGAGGUGUUUUUCAAAGAAUUUCCUGAAACCAGCCAACAAAGGUCAGAGACUGACAUUCGAGUGUGUCGUGUGUGUCCUUGAUGGGGUUUUUUCUUUUUAGGCCAACUAAAAUUUGGAGCUGUAAAAUGAUCUUUAGCUUCUUGAAUCCCAACAGGAGCAUCCUUUAGUCUUGAAUUGCGCUGCUUGGAAAAAUUGAUGAUAUCCUUGUAUACCACGGCUACAUUCAGCUCCUCUAAUACCUUGGUUUAGCAUUUUCUUUAGCUACUGCAAUGCUCUUUGAACAGCAAGUAAUUCAGCCUUCUUUGCAGAUCUAGGCAUCACCACACCCCUGCAAGCAAUCAUCUCCUGCCUUUCAUUUUUGGCCAUAAUCUUGACAACAGCAUGUCUGGUUCCUUCAAUGUAAGACCCAUAAUAGUUAAUCUUCGCAAAACCUAGCUCAGGUUUACUCUACACACCCUGCCUUUCGUCCACCCAAUUAUGACCCAGCUCUCUUACAUUUUUACAGGAUACACAAUCUUAAAGAGCUUUUUUUAAUCUGUAUAAAUGACAUUUUCAGGAUCAGGUGAAUUGUUGUUAAAGAUUACUGCAUAUUAAGCAUUCCAGAUAUACCAGCAGGUGUAGCCAAUCAUUCUUAAGCAUUAUGAGCCCAUAUCAAGUCAUUUGAUCUCCUGACUCACAUUUGUAGAAUAUCAGCCAGUACCAAUAUGUCACCAUUACCAGUAAUUAGUGGUCUCUUAUACUUGUCAGUUAACAUCAUCAUAAGAGUUUUCUAGCAAAUCAUCAACAUGGUAUCCCG